UACGUAGGGUCCGAGCGUUGUCCGGAGUUACUGGGCGUAAAGCGCGCGCAGGCGGCGGCGCAAGCCUGGCGUGAAAGCCCCCGGCUCAACCGGGGAGGGUCGUCGGGGACUGCGUCGCUUGAGGACGGCAGGGGCCGGUGGAAUGCCCGGUGUAGUGGUGAAAUGCGUAGAGAUCGGGCAGAACACCCGUGGCGAAAGGCGGCCGGCUGGGCCGACACUGACACUGAGAGACGAAAGCUAGGGGAGCGAAUGGG
rnacentral:rRNA from 1 species